rnacentral:hammerhead_ribozyme from 1 species
GCAUUGCUGAGGAGUCCCAUAAUAGGACGAAGCGUCUGUCCAAUGC